UUCAAAAUAGGGGACUACAACAUACGGG
rnacentral:sRNA from 1 species